rnacentral:tRNA from 1 species
GGAGAGGUGCGAGAGUGGGACGAAUCGGCGUGACUGAAAUCACGUGUGCCGGUAACGGUACCGUGGGUUCGAAUCCCACCCUCUCCGCCA